UACGAAGGGGGCUAGCGUUGCUCGGAAUCACUGGGCGUAGAGGGUGCGUAGGCGGGUCUUUAAGUCAGGGGUGAAAUCCUGGAGCUCAACUCCAGAACUGCCUUUGAUACUGAAGAUCUUGAGUUCGGGAGAGGUGAGUGGAACUGCGAGUGUAGAGGUGAAAUUCGUAGAUAUUCGCAAGAACACCAGUGGCGAAGGCGGCUCACUGGCCCGAUACUGACGCUGAGGCACGAAAGCGUGGGGAGCAAACAGG
rnacentral:rRNA from 1 species